rnacentral:rRNA from 1 species
GUAUAGGGGAGCCGGAGGGAAACCGAGUCUUAACCGGGCGUUAAGUUGCAGGGUAUAGACCCGAAACCCGGUGAUCUAGCCAUGGGCAGGUUGAAGGUUGGGUAACACUAACUGGAGGACCGAACCGACUAAUGUUGAAAAAUUAGCGGAUGACCUGUGGCUGGGGGUGAAAGGCCAAUCAAACCGGGAGAUAGCUGGUUCUCCCCGAAAGCUAUUUAGGUAGCGCCUCGUGAAUUCAUCUCCGGGGGUAGAGCACUGUUUCGGCUAGGGGGCCAUCCCGGCUUACCAACCCGAUGCAAACUGCGAAUACCGGAGAAUGUUAUCACGGGAGACACACGGCGGGUGCUAACGUCCGUCGUGAAGAGGGAAACAACCCAGACCGCCAGCUAAGGUCCCAAAGUCAUGGUUAAGUGGGAAACGAUGUGGGAAGGCCCAGACAGCCAGGAUGUUGGCUUAGAAGCAGCCAUCAUUUAAAGAAAGCGUAAUAGCUCACUGGUCGAGUCGGCCUGCGCGGAAGAUGUAACGGGGCUAAACCAUGCACCGAAGCUGCGGCAGCGAACGUAUCACCCAAGACAACUUUACGGAGUUGACGAUUGACGGAGCGAAGCGACGUCAAAGCGUUCAUUAAAGUCGAGUUGGCUUAGGGAUACGUUCGUUGGGUAGGGGAGCGUUCUGUAAGCCUGUGAAGGUGUGUCGUGAGGCAUGCUGGAGGUAUCAGAAGUGCGAAUGCUGACAUAAGUAACGAUAAAGCGGGUGAAAAGCCCGCUCGCCGGAAGACCAAGGGUUCCUGUCCAACGUUAAUCGGGGCAGGGUGAGUCGACCCCUAAGGCGAGGCCGAAAGGCGUAGUCGAUGGGAAACGGGUUAAUAUUCCCGUACUUGGUGUUACUGCGAAGGGGGGACGGAGAAGGCUAUGUUGGCCGGGCGACGGUUGUCCCGGUUUAAGCGUGUAGGUGUGUGUUCCAGGUAAAUCCGGUUCACUUUAACACUGAGGCGUGACGACGAGGCACUACGGUGCUGAAGCAACAAAUGCCCUGCUUCCAGGAAAAGCCUCUAAGCAUCAGGUAACACGAAAUCGUACCCCAAACCGACACAGGUGGUCAGGUAGAGAAUACCAAGGCGCUUGAGAGAACUCGGGUGAAGGAACUAGGCAAAAUGGUGCCGUAACUUCGGGAGAAGGCACGCUGACACGUAGGUGAAGUGAUUUACUCAUGGAGCUGAAGUCAGUCGAAGAUACCAGCUGGCUGCAACUGUUUAUUAAAAACACAGCACUGUGCAAACACGAAAGUGGACGUAUACGGUGUGACGCCUGCCCGGUGCCGGAA